rnacentral:rRNA from 1 species
UGAGGAACAUGACCUUCGGCGGGGGAUAGCCGGCCCAACGGCCGGGUAAUACCGCGUACGACCUUCCGGGGACAUCCCUGGAUGGUGAAAGCAGCAAUGCGCCGAUGGAGUGCCUCGCGGCCUAUCAGCUAGUUGGUGAGGUAACGGCUCACCAAGGCGACGACGGGUAGCCGGUCUGAGAGGAUGGCCAGCCACAUUGGGACUGAGACACGGCCCAGACCUCCCGUACGGGGA